UCUCCGUAGGUGAACCUGCGGAGGGAUCAUUACUGAGUGAGGGCUCCGGCCCGACCUCCAACCCCAUGUGAACCGAAACCUGUUGCUUCGGGGGCGACCCUGCCUUUCGGCGCGGCGCCCCCGGAGGCUCAUCAAACACUGCAUCUGUGCGUCUGAGUGAUUAAUCAAUCCAUUAAAACUUUCAACAACGGAUCUCUUGGUUCUGGCAUCGAUGAAGAACGCAGC
rnacentral:misc_RNA from 1 species